rnacentral:lncRNA from 1 species
AAAUCUACUAUCUUCUAUGAUUUUAAAAAUCCAUUAUCAAUAUUUUAUCCCCGUAACAUCAAUCAGUAUACAUCAUAAAUCAAAUAUUCAUCUUUGCACUACAGGUCAAAGAUAUUCAUCAGUUGGUCAUGUUCAUCUCAACACCUGUACAUCUUUGCACUACGGGCCAAAGAUAUUCAUAAGAAAAUCAACCAUCUUUGCACUACAG